UGACUUCAUGUUCCUGAGCGAGGAGAUCGGCACGCCAGAUGCGCCGAGUGCCUGACCCCUUUUAAAGGCUCUGUAAGGUCACACGAAACUUUAAAAAUGUCGUUUCAGGCGUGCGGAGGGAAGGAAGAGAGCCCAAAAAGCUUUAGGAAGCUGUGUUUCGUUUUCGGAUGAAGAGCGAGCCUCGCAGGGUAGCUGACAAGUUUGCAGUCCUUGCUCUGAGUCAGGCAUUGAAUUUUACUCAGUUGUUUUAUCUGGAGACAAAAGCAACAAACACCCCUUGCAGUAGAGCCACCCAGAGCUACCAGGUCAUAUGAGGAACAUCUCUGUUGAGCAUCUCCAGUGUCGACGACAACUCUUGCUCAGCACCUUCUGGACAUGGAAGUGAAGAGCUGUUUUGGACAGGAGCUGGUUCAAGCCUGUGGAUUCUGGGGUGUUUCUUCAUCCAUCUCUUUCCACCAUCAGUGCAGGAGGUACCCUCUUUACAAACGCUGGUUUUCCCAAAUCCUGGCAAGGAUUUAGUAAGGAUCAGAAACGAGGCUAAUAAGGCUUAUUGAGCCUCAGAUGUGUUUUGCACAUAAAACAUGACACCACUGAACGGGGAGGGUAUUAAUGCUACCACUGAGAUGAUGCACUAAAUUAUUGGUUGGUUAACAUCAUUUUAUUUACCACAAACUGGGGGCAGACUUUGCAGUGUUGGGAAAUUCAAGACCCCAGAAUAACUACAUGGUGGGAUAGUGUCACGGGAUAUGUGAAACAUUUUCUUUCUGGAAAAGACAGGCUGAGCUGCUGGUACGAUAGCUGAGCCUUUGCUCAAUCCUGGCACCUGUAUUGUAGGUAGGAUUAAAUUUCUGCUUCCUAACAGCAGAAAAUCAGGUCCAUACGUUUCUAUUUGGACAGUACAAUUAACAAAAAAAAUAACUCCAUUAGCAGGUUGUUCCGGAAACCAGGCGCUGGGCUGCAAUUAACAGCACACAGAUUACCUUCGUGUGGAAAUCAACACGUGCCAACAGUAGCCGGUGUUCCUCUGAUUUUGGGAUAAAGAAAAGGGAUUUUUUGAUCCAGAGGUACUAUACGCGAUUUGUUGUAUUUUUCUUCCUCCUCCUGAUCCUUUUCUCACAGUUCUGUUCAGGUCUCUCCUCUAAUGCAGAAUGUCCCCCUCCCCAAAACACGAGAGCCCUGCAAACCUGCCAGCUGUGGCCGAGGAGGAUCAGAGAUCCUUAUUUUUGAAAAGGAAAAUAUGGCUGUUACCAUCUCAACUUCCCCCAGAGAAAGACGUGGGGAUUCAGAUUAAACCCCAUCUUUCCAGAAUUCACCCGUCAGUCUUCUGGUUUAGAAGCCCAUGAAUUACGGUGCUAAACAAAAAAGAUUGUUCUUUUCAGAGAAGCGGCAAUUGCCAAAAUGUCCACGUAGAAAAUGAGAAUAACAGUUUUAAUUGAGGCAUGUUUUUUUGUUUUAACGUACUCUCCGCUUCUUUGACUAGAAAAUGGCUACAUUACCUGGAAAAAUAUUUUUGUAUUGUGCUGCUUGAGGGGAAAGGAGCUAAUUAAAUUUGUAAAAGUGGAAAA